CAAGGAAUAAUUCUGAAGGUACUUGAGGAAUCAGCAUCGGCUAACUCCGUGCCAGCAGCCGCGGUAAUACGGAGGAUGCAAGCGUUAUCCGGAAUGAUUGGGCGUAAAGCGUCCGCAGGUGGCCCUGUAAGUCUGCUGUUAAAGACCAAAGCUUAACUUUGUAAAAACAGUGGAAACUACAGAGCUAGAGUGCGUUCGGGGUAGAGGGAAUUCCUGGUGUAGCGGUGAAAUGCGUACAGAUCAAGAAGAACACCGGUGGCGAAGGCGCUCUACUAGGCCGCAACUGACACUGAGGGACGAAGGCUAGGGGAGCGAACGGAAUUUGAUACCCCUGUAGUCCUAGCCGUAAACGAUGGAUACUAGGCGUUGCGAGUAUCGACCCUCGCAGUG
rnacentral:rRNA from 1 species